rnacentral:lncRNA from 1 species
ACUUUGAAAUCCUCUCUAAAAGAAUGGCUGUAAGGAACAACAAAACAAAAGACACCCCACAUGGCCCUUAAACCCAGAGACUGACAGUCUAUCAUCAUAAAUGAAUCUCACAGUAACAGACUGAGGCAGAGAGAGCAGGGAAAAACACACGAGCGCAGAGAGAUUUCUGAUGCAUUUGGGGGGGAAGAAAGAACGAGUUAAAGACUUCUCUCAGAGCGUGCAGUGAAGCCUUUUGUCAGCAGUUGGCAUCAGUCCCAGGCAACGGGCUGGCCAGUGUGAUGGGGCAUACGGAGAGGAGAGGCAAGAGAGGAGGCGUCUUUCAUUCAAUAGCUUGAAUACUGAUUUACUGUUGAGACACAGACAGGUGCAGUCUGCAGAUGUAUACUGUGUGUGGCCUACAGCACUGUAUACCGCAAGGGCUGAAUCACAGGAGGUUGGUGGCACUUUAAUUGGGGAGGACAGGCUCAUAGUGACAGCUUGAACGGAAUCAAUGGAAUAGUAUCAAAUUCAUCAAACACAUGGUUUCCAUGUGUUGGAUACCAUUCCAUUCACACCAUAUGAGCCGUCCUCCCCUCGGCAGCCUCCUGUGGGCUGUAUACUGUACAAGUGAUACUAUCAUAACU